rnacentral:rRNA from 1 species
UACGAAGGGGGCUAGCGUUGUUCGGAAUCACUGGGCGUAAAGCGCACGUAGGCGGAUCUUUAAGUCAGGGGUGAAAUCCCGAGGCUCAACCUCGGAACUGCCUUUGAUACUGGGGAUCUCGAGUCCGGGAGAGGUGAGUGGAACUGCGAGUGUAGAGGUGAAAUUCGUAGAUAUUCGCAAGAACACCAGUGGCGAAGGCGGACUCACUGGCCCGGAACUGGACGCUGAGGCACGGAAGGUCAGGGGAGCAAACGG